rnacentral:rRNA from 1 species
GAUGAACGCUGGCGGCGUGCCUAACACAUGCAAGUCGAGCGAUUCUCUUCGGAGAAGAGCGGCGGACGGGUGAGUGACGCGUGGGUAACCUGCCCUGUACACACGGAUAACAUACCGAAAGGUAUGCUAAUACGAGAUAAUAUGCUUUUAUCGCAUGGUAGAAGUAUCAAAGCUUUUGCGGUACAGGAUGGACCCGCGUCGGAUUAGCUAGUUGGUAAGGUAACGGCUUACCAAGGCGACGAUCAGUAGCCGACCUGAGAGGGUGAUCGGCCACAUUGGAACUGAGACACGGUCCAAACUCCUACGGGAGGCAGCAGUGGGGAAUAUUGCACAAUGGGCGAAAGCCUGAUGCAGCAACGCCGCGUGAGCGAUGAAGGCCUUCGGGUCGUAAAGCUCUGUCCUCAAGGAAGAUAAUGACGGUACUUGAAGAGGAAGCCCCGGCUAACUACGUGCCAGCCGCCGCCGUAA